rnacentral:rRNA from 1 species
UACGGAGGAGGCAAGCGUUAUCCGGAAUUAUUGGGCGUAAAGCGUCCGUAGGUGGCUCUUCAAGUCUGCUGUCAAAGAGUGGGGCUUAACCCUGCAAAGGCAGUGGAAACUGAAAGGCUAGAGAGCCGUAGGGGUAGAGGGAAUUCCCGGUGUAGCGGUGAAAUGCGUAGAGAUCGGGAAGAACAGCGGUGGCGAAAGCGCUCUACUGGACGGUAUCUUACACUGAGGGACGAAAGCUAGGGGAGCGAAUGGG